UACAGAGGUCCCAAGCGUUGUUCGGAUUCACUGGGCGUAAAGGGUGCGUAGGCGGUCGGGUAAGGCUGGCGUGAAAUCUCCAAGCCUAACUUGGAAACUGCGUUGGAUACUAUCCGGCUCGAGGAAUGGAGGGGAGACUGGAAUACUUGGUGUAGCAGUGAAAUGCGUAGAUAUCAAGUGGAACACCAGUGGCGAAGGCGAGUCUCUGGACAUUUCCUGACGCUGAGGCACGAAAGCCAGGGGAGCAAACGGG
rnacentral:rRNA from 1 species